AUGGAUCCUAAUGGCUCCUAUCCUAACAAAGUCAGAUCCACUGAAAGUGAAGCCAAUGUAUCCCUAUCAGCACUACCACCAAACUUGCCUGAUGCACAAUUUACUCCUUUAUCCAUGGCCAACGCCCAUAAUUCUAAUCCCAACCAUAGUGAAAUCAUUGAGAACCAGCCAGAAAUGUUAUCGUACCAAGCUUUCUUGUCAAAUCCUAUUAGGAACUACUUUGGUUCAUCAGAUUUAAGGAGGAUAUUGUCCAUGGAGUCUCCAUCAGUCACAUCCUUACUCCAAGGAGAUCCCGUUGCUGUUGUUCAUGCCCACCUUAAUACUAUUGGAGCAACAGAUGAUGGUCCAAUCUUUGAGAUCCCCACCACCCAUGUCAUUGAGGUAAACUCACUACCAUCACAAUUUAUUUAUUUUUCCUAA
rnacentral:rRNA from 1 species